ACUGAAGAGUGAAGAAGUGUUUGAAACUACUGCACAAUAACUGAUAAACUCGUCUAUAUCGAGCAUCAACAACAAUGAAAUUUGCUUUUGAAGUUCUGCUGUUGCUGAUUGUUUGUACAACAUUAUUAUCAGCAAAACCACACUAUGAAAUUGAGGAAGGACGUGAGAAUGAAAAGGACCAGAGAAGUGUUCAGAACGAUUGUAGAGAGACCGGGUGUCCAAUAGGAAAAUACUG